rnacentral:rRNA from 1 species
UACGUAGGUGGCUAGCGUUGUCCGGAUUUACUGGGCGUAAAGCGCGCGCAGGCGGUCGUUCAAGUCGAGUGUGAAAGCCCCCGGCUCAACUGGGGAGGGUCACUCGAUACUGAUCGACUUGAAGGCAGAAGAGGGAAGCGGAAUUCCCGGUGUAGUGGUGAAAUGCGUAGAUAUCGGGAGGAACACCAGUGGCGAAAGCGACUUUCUGGUCCUUAACUGACGCUGAGGCGCGAAAGCAUGGGGAGCGAACGGGAUUAGAA